CCCAAGUGCAAAUCAUGAAUCUCACGCCUCUUAGCUGGGCAUCUGUGGCUGGCAGCCAUGUUGAGCUCGGUUUCUUCACCUGCGAAAGAAGGGCGUAAUGAUGCUUCCUUUGUAUUCCUAUACGGAGUGCCAAGAAUGGGUAUGUAGCACCCAGCAAAUGCCUGCUGCUUAGCAGGUCUGUAAGCUGUCAUAGCGCCUUAAUGUGGUAGGUUUCUAAUUUUCUCUUUGAUUCCUCGAAAUUUUGGCCCUGAAAGGGCACAGGCUAUAACAAAUAGAGCUUUUGAACCAAAAGGGACCUCUGGACCGUGAAGUUGAUUGUCCUUGGGUCAAACAACCAGUUAGGAUCAGACUGAGGUUUGGGCUCAUGGCUCUUGGCUAUUGCAAGGCUGGAAGGCUGGGGAGGGGCGACCUAAGAGGACUCUGGAUGAGGACUUGGCAGCAUAGCUAGUGCUUUGAUGGCCAGGGAGUCAUCGUGGGGCCCCGGGAGCUGCAGCCCUAGCAGAACGGGAAGGUUUGGAGAGCAGGUGUGUCUGUCCAGUGUCUCUUGAGAAGGGUUGAAUUCAACCCUUAUUAUCCCCAGUCCAGAGCUCACAGACCUGUUCCCUUGAUAAUGUCGCAAUUUCCUGGCCGGGGUCCUCUCUACCUGGACCAGCUUUAUCCUGACGGCCCGCAGAGCACUGUUUCCCCAAGUGUGUUCUCGGAGCACUUGCCCUUGAAGUUAGCUUGUGAAACAAAAUUAUGAGUCAGAGCACACCUGCGUGCCCCUUGGAGUGUCACGUCAUGGGCUUGGAGAAGUCUCGUGAGGUAGAGGAAUUGGUCCAGCUGCUCUUGGCUUGUGACCUUGGGCAAGGACUUCACCACUUUGUGCUUCAGUCUCCUCAUCUCUGCACUGGUGAUUGUAAUCCAGCACGGCCCUUCGGGAUAGGUCUUCUCACUGACCCCACUUUAUAGCAUUUCCUGGAAGGACACUGGUGACCACAAGCUAUGUGCUGGCCCUACCUCCUGGUGCCCAGGGGCCUUGUGCAAACACGAAUCAGGAGGAAAGGAAGAGCUGCCCUAGCGUGUGGCCUGGAGGGGAGAGGACUCCAAGGGCCAUUCAUUGUGUGCCUGCCACAGGGAAUGCGUGCUCCCCCUCUGGGUCUCUCCCUGUCUCUGCCAGGGCAAGAGAAGCCGGGGGUGGGGGGGUUAAGGAAUCAGGUAGGCAUUGGAUUGCAGUGCCAGGACCUCCUUCUCAAAGUGGGAAGCUGGGGUGUCCCCGGCUCACAGCGGCAGUGACCGUGCUAGUCUGUGAAUCACAGCAGCCAACACUGCCUUCCUGGGACUUCAGGGCUGUGGAGCGCCUGGAGGGCCGCCUCUGUGGUUCCAGUGAGAAGGGCUGUGUUUGUGCUGUGAUGCCGCAGUUCCUGGAGCCCUGCAGAGAACACUGAUCUUCCUGUGACCUGCCUGGGGGUCAGGCAAGGUCAGCCUCCCGCAGGACCAUGGAAAUUCCACAGCCUUUCUGUGCACAGCAGGGAGCAGAUCAAGAGAGUGUCCUUUUUUGAAAUGCUUCUUGAGUGGGUGGAACCUUUGCUCUGGGCACAUGGAGGAGGAGACUUGGGGCCUACCCUGUGAUACAGGGGUGUCCCAGCACUCUGGGUGGAAGGCUCAAGGGAUGUGCAGCUGGGGUAUAGAGCUCUGCCUCCAGUGGCUGGAGAGAGCAUCUAGUUUGUCUAUUCCUGGGGCUUCUCACACCUUAAUAUGCACACAAAUCACCUGGAGAGCUAUUAAAAUGCAGAGUCUGAUUCAGAAGGUCCAGGGUGGGGCCGGAGAUUCUGCAUUUCUGCCAGGUGAUGCCUGUGCCGGACAGAUCAUGCUUUGAGAAGCAAGGAUCUGGUCCAUUGCUCCGUCUCCAGGCAGUCCCUCCCUGAAGACGUGCCUGGUUUUAAAGAUGGAAAUUCCCAGCUCUCCAGCAGUUGGGAAGGGUCGAGAAGAGGAAAGGUUCACUGUGCCAGGACAGCCAGGUGGAGAAAACUCAGUUCAGGCCUCUCCGAGUUGCCACGGUUCAGUCUGGGCACUAAUUGCUAAAGCUGAUUGUUGGCAUGUUCGCUCCCAAGGCACCCACAAGCGCUGUCAGUUUGGGGUUGAGUUGUGGCGGCCAGAGCAGCAUCCUGCUAGACGUCUGGGGUACAGUGUGUGUGUUGCCCACCCGAGUGUGGGCUUUCCCUCACACCCGCGGGUCCGGCUGUGAGGGGUGAGGCUUUCCAAAGUCCAGGAUGGCAACUCAGCCAAACCACCUUCCUGCAAAAUUAGAGGCUCAUGGCGGAGCCAGGGCUGCACUGUGCUGAUGCUCCAGGAAGCCAGCUGCCGGUCACGCCCUGUGGACUGCUGCAAGUCAGCCAGCAGCAAAACUGCCAGCCUGAUUUUCCAUAGGGACCUGGGUGGGCCUUUCCACACAGAGAGUCCAACUUGAAAGGAGUGGGCUCGAGGCCUGAUCGCUGAGUGGGGAGAGACGUGUGGCACUGUGCUAUGCCACCCUCCGGUGGUACUUCUUGAGAAUUCUAGCAGAUGAAAUUGGAAGUAGUUCCUUUUCUCACCAUACUGUCUGGGUUUUUACAGCUCCUACUGUCAGGCACUUUUUCCUUGAGAAGUGCUUUUUGUGUUGUUCCAUCAUUCAGGGGAGAACCCGGAAUAAACUUUUAUCAUGAGCAUCUUCAGAUUAAAUGAAGGGCUUAGCAUGGUGCCCAGCACACAGUAGGUCCCCAGAGAACUCUCAUGGUUAUUACAGUUGUUUUUGCUUCUAUUGCGUAGUAAGUGCAUCCUCUGUCAGGAAUUGAGCUAGGUGCCUGGGGUAAAAUAAGACUGUUUGUUUGACAGCAUGGAGGAGAGAGAAGGAAAAUUCAGUUAUCUUCUGACAGUGUAUGCCCACGUCUGGUCUAUGAGUUGCCUGCAAACCCCCUGAGGGCAGGAACUGAGUCAUAUAAAUACAAGUGCACAUAUGUGUUGGGAGGGCCCUUUCCAUUUGGUUUGGUUGGGGGUGGCUGUGUGGGACUGUUGUAGGUGCAAAUACAUUUUGCUGCUUUUUUGGGUAAUUUAUUAGACGCUAUAGAGGAACUCUGAGUGAAGGGAAGGGGUUGGAUUUGGUGACACAAUAAUGUUUGAGUCAUUUCUGGAUUUCAGUUAUUCAUGCCGCCCCGGUCUCCCCUGACCAGUGGAUCACAAGGAUUUGUUCCCGAUGAGCACUUGUUUGCGAGGUGGAUGAGUCAGGCAGGGGAUGGGACAGCUUCAAAAGCAUGGCUGCUUGCAGAUGGAAUUUGCUCUGUUUUUGGCAGUAUUUGGUGCCUGUCUUUGGGGCAUAAUGUCUGAUUGCCAAUUUGGAAGUGUAAUUGGCAGUCCAGCUCCAGAAUGGAUAUAUUCAACGUUGUCAAGCCGAACCUCUAAAACUUCUCCCUAUAAGCUCUCAUUACUUGUAUGACCAGUGCUCCUUUACGUGGUCCCAAAGCGAAAUUAUUUAAAACAUCUCAUUUACUUCAUAUUCUCUAUGCUCUUUCAUGGGCUUCCCUACCAGGUUUCCUCGGGGACCGGACCCAGGUGACGCCGGCCUUUUCAAAGGCACAGGAAUGCCUGUGUUUUUUCUCUCCUUCCUUCUCCUCUUCUGCCUUUCUUGGAUGUCCCUGCUUCCCUAGUGAUUCCUGCCAAGUCUAGGAGCAGAGGGACUGAAGUUUGCAGGUUAGUUGAUCUUGCAGGCAUAGAAGCAUGUGGAAUUUGGAUGUCAUGGUAGUGGAAAGGUGGUUUGGGGCCGGGGUCCUACCUCCUCCUCCGUGCCAGUGCUGGGAGCCCUUGGCCCCAUCUCCAGAGAGGGCAGGGAUGCUCAUGAUCUUCUCAGGCCACUGUUCCAUUGUGCACAAACCCACCUUAGAAUGAAUGGAAAGGUCUUUCUCCUUGUAUUAGUCCCUCUUUGCUUCUGAGCUGUUUCCAAGAUACACAGAACAUGUGUUGGUGGGGGAUAAAUUUCAAAUUCCAAAUCUGGCCCAGGAAUGUGCAGAGCUGGUGGGGUUUAGAUGUCAGCAGUGUUCUUGAGAUGUAGAAUGCCCACCUGUGUUGCUCCCGUGCAGGGACCCCACUUUCUUUUUCUCUCUCAUGACUUCUGGUGUCCUUCUACCCCAGAGGCCUUGAGAUUUCCCCCUGCCCCAUGCCCCAGAGUUUGCACAACAGCCCAACCUGGAUAUUAGUUCUGGUGCUUUACCCUGUGUGAUGUAUUGGGUCUUGUCAGAAGCAGUGGGUGAGGAUUUGGCCGUCUCUGAGCCAUCGGGUCACUUCUUUGUCACUAGAAUCUGCCCAGUGUUUCUAGAGUUUAGCUCCAUUCAGAGUUAGCACUGGGCUUGGCUGAGAGCAGAUGUGACUUGGGGAGGAUGCCAGGGAUCCAGAUGCAGAGUGCGGAUCCCUUGCUAAGAAGCCCCAGUUGGACUCUGCUUUCUAGUUGUUGGCUCUUCCCAAAGGAGAGAGAACAGACAGAGAUCUUGAGCCUUUUUUUUUUUUGGAUGAUUUAAAUACAGCUGCUCCUAGAAUUGAGGAUUAUUCCUCUCCAACUGCUCAUCUGAUCUCUUCUCCUCUGGGCUUCUACAUUCUAGUGCUGCCCCUGUUUUGCUGAACAAGAAAAGAGAGCAUGCAAGAGAGGAGGGUGAGGAAGGUCAGCGGCUAGUGGGAGAUGUUUACACACAGAAAAGUGGAAUUUCUCUUCUGGGAGCUAGAGGUUGGCUAACUAUGUGACUGGAUGGGUUUUGCUUUCAGUUCCUUUACUUAUUGUCUUAAUGAACAAAUCAUGACAAGUGGCCCCACCCCCAAGGAGUGCAGCAUUCUAUAAAGACCAGUGGAAAGAGUGAUUUCCCUUUUGGAAGAUUUUAGCUUUUCUAGUGAGAAGUUCCCUCCAGUUAAUUGCUAGCAUGGGGCCUGUGUGGCCCAGUGGCCCAAGAUGCCAGGGGUUAUAAGGUUUCUUAGGGCUCUUCUUCGUGUGCCUGUUAUGUGAGAGCAGAAUUCUCUUCUUUGGGAGAAGUUGCCUCAUUAACUUGCUUUCCCUUUUCGUGACUUUGAAAAGUAGACUUUUUGUGAUUCGGGAAGGGGAAAAAGUGGACAUAAUAAUGAUUAGCAAAUGGAAAACUCAGAGAUAAGGGCUCCAAGGCCCUGAGGAAAGAUUUGGAAGAUGAAAAGAUUUAUACAAGUGCUGGGGAUUUUCAUGACCAACAUUAGGAGGCAAACGCUUAAUACAGUGUUUUUCUUCUUUAUGCAUCUGGGAGCACUUUCCCUUACGGUGCUUAGAGGAGUUGUUUUAGCUACCCGUGAGUGUGGCCAUUUCUCCCAUAGAUUGUGGCAGCCACAGCCAGUCAGGUGGCAGGAUUCUUGAAGAGGAUAGGAGUGGUGUCAGAAGUCAAUAAUUUGCCUGUCCUAAAAAAAAAUCCAUUUCUUAUGUUCAUGUGAAACCCUGUUUUCCCUGAAAGAUUUCUUUUUCAAUUUGUGUUUUACACUUUUGUCCUUAAUCCUAAAUGUGGCUGUAUUCUUUGUAGAAAAUGUAGUCAGGACAGAGAGGCAAUUAAAAAAAAAAAAGGACGCCUCACACCCACUGGGAUGGCUACUAUAUCAAAAAAUCCAGAAAAAAACAAGUGUUGGUGAGGAUGUGGAAAAAUUGGAACCUGGCUGCACUGCGUGUGGGAAUGUUGAAUGAUGCAGCUACUAUGGGAAACAGGAUGGUGGUUCCUCAAAAAAAAAAAUUAAAAA